AGGGCGCGAUGGCGGUGCCAGGGGGGAGGAGGGUGGACUUCUCCUCGGGCACGUCACCGAGGGGUCCAUCACCGGCGGGGGCGUCGUCCGCGGGGAGGCGGCUGCUGCGCACGCAGACGGUCGGCAACAUGGGGGAGUCCAUCUUCGACAGCGAGGUGGUGCCCUCCUCGCUCGUCGAGAUCGCGCCCAUCCUCCGGGUCGCCAACAAGGUCGAGGCCAGCAAUCCGCACGUCGCCAACGAGAAGAAACUGGCUCUCCGUUGCAUUCCUCUCCCCUCCAACCGCCAACAGAGACGGCCCAGGCGGAAGCUCCCUUCCGUACGUUCGUCCUCGGACAGGCCAUCAAGUUCUUGAGAGUGCACGAACCGACGGACUUCUGCGUGCGGCGACUAGAGGUACGCGGUGUGAAUCUUUGAUUCUUCUCCAUCUCUUCCACCUGGCCGUCUCUGAUCCUACUCAUUCCCUGCCUGGCCAUUGCCUCCAUCCAAUGUCGCUGUUGCGCGAGCCACCUGUUCGACGGAAUGGCUGCAAGGGCCAAGGACGGUAAAGCCAAGAAAGUGGCAGUUGCUGGCGGCAAGGACUGCUUUGAGGACCUCCCGGAGCCUGUGCUCGAGCUGCUGCUGUCAUUCCUGCCCUCGCGGGACGCCAUGAGGACGUCCGUGCUCGCUCGCCGCUGGCGCACCCUCUGCAAAGGCUCGAGAGGGAGAACGACCCCACCCUCAAGGGGAGGGUGCACCAGAGCGACGUGCAUGAGAUGCAGCGCUUCUACCGCGAGUACUACAAACUACUUCCGCGAGAUGUUGCUCAAGUAGCCGUGACAUAUAUUAUGUCUAAAUGGCAGAGGUUCUUCCUAAAUUUCUGGGGUCCAUUCACAGUAAGCAAUAAGAAGAUAAAAUCAAUGAUAAUGUUCGUCUCCGACACUCCUGUGACACUCAUAUGUUUAGUUCAACAGCAGUACAUUUUAGGGUCAAAAUAUUCUCCUUCUGCUACAGAAUUUUUUUAGUGAAGUUGCAGUAGCAGCAUGAGCAAUUGCUUGGUUAAUCUUGCUUGGAGUAGCAGUUGUAAUAUUGCUUGGAGUAGCAGCAUUAAGCUUCUGCGGUAAUUUUCCAGUAAAAUUUUCUUGGAGUAGCAGUAGUAAAAUUUGCUUGGAGUAUUUAACAAGAUUGAAUUGUACUCAGUGAUGAUUACCAUGGAGUAAUUGCUUGGAGUAACUAUACUCAAGAUGUAGUCGUAGUAGGAUUAGUUGCUUGGAGUAUUUAACAAGACCGAACAAGAUUUAACUUGUCAAGAUUUAACAAUAUUUCUUAGUAAAGCUAAGUAGAGUAUAUAUUCUGAACAUGCAAGCAUAUUUAUUCUCAGCAUAAGUACAUGAGUAGGAGUAUCAUGCUUCUGAAUAUCUCCAAGCUGGAUAUUUCCAUUAAACAUGUUUCUCAAUACCUCCCAUAUAUAUUUCCGUUAGUCUGCUUAGUGCAUCAUUAAGAUUAUAAGCAUCAUUUUCACUGAAUCCUGGUUACAUAUUUGUGUGUACUCAAGUUGAAAAUGGGACUUGGAAUAAUAUGCAAGUUUCAUCUUUUCUAUUACAGCGAGUGGGUCGGUUAUGCACUGGCAC